rnacentral:rRNA from 1 species
UACGAAGGGGGCUAGCGUUGCUCGGAAUUACUGGGCGUAAAGGGCGCGUAGGCGGACAGUUUAGUCAGAAGUGAAAGCCCAGGGCUCAACCUUGGAAUUGCCUUUGAUACUGGCUGUCUUGAGUUCGGGAGAGGUGAGUGGAAUGCCGAGUGUAGAGGUGAAAUUCGUAGAUAUUCGGCGGAACACCAGUGGCGAAGGCGACUCACUGGCCCGAUACUGACGCUGAGGCGCGAAAGCGUGGGGAGCAAACAGG